UAUAUGCAUUAUGGCCUUUAAUUUUACACACAUAUGACCGAGCAGGAGUAUCACAAAGAAUAACAUUAAUACAAACAGAAGUAACUUGUUCAUUAAUAUUAAUUCCAUCUUGUUCAAGUGUUUUCAUUUCAUCAACAAAUGAUCUGAGAAAAUCAUUUGAGUUUUCAGGUUUGCUUUCACCAUGAUGAAUACCAAUAACAAAAGGUUCUGUAUAAUCAAAUGAAUUAACACAGAUUGAACCUAAAAUUGGCCAGAAAUCACUUUUAGACUAUUUGUUAAUGUUACUUGAGAUAUCGUAUUAUCUGCAUCUAAUUCUUCAAAUAAACUAUUAUCAUGUAAUGCUGGUGAAAAAUGCUGAUAGCGUGUAAUUUCACAAUUAAUUAAUUGUUGUCUGCGUCUUUUUUAUAAUAAAUGUAAUGGUUUAGGCAUUAUUCCUGUAACAAAUCCUAUAUAAAUAAUUAAUGUUAUCGCAUCUGUAUUAUUCAUUACACAUAAGAAUAUAUGUUACAAAAGUCAUAUAUAAUAAAAGAAAUAGCAUAAGAAAAAGCUUUAUAAAUACAUUAAACAUUAAACAUAUACGUAUGUUAAACAAUACACGACAAACGACAUAUUUAAAUAACAUAUAAAAUGAAAUAAAUAUA